rnacentral:rRNA from 1 species
ACCUGAAAUCAAGCAAGAUCACCCGCUGAACUUAAGCAUAUCAGUAAGCGGAGGAAAAGAAACUAACAAGGAUUGCCUUAGUAGUGGCGAAUGAACCGGCAAUAGCUCAAAGUGUAAAUCUGAGGCAUCAAGUCUUAGAAUUGUAAUCUAUAGGCCUUUUAGGGAAGCCAUGGUUCUAGCAUAAGUUCCCUGAAAAGGGAUGCCAAAGAGGGUAAAAGCCCCGUAUUUGGUUAGGACUGGGUGUACCGAAGGGUUCCAAGAGUCGGGUUGUUUGGGAUUGCAGCCUAAAAUGGGAGAUAAACUUCUUCUAAAGCUAAAUAUUUAUGGGAAACCGAUAGCAAACAAGUACUACGAAGGAAAGAUGAAAAGAACUUUGAAAAGAGGGUUAAAAGACUUGAAAUCGUUGAGGAGAAAAGCGGUAGAAGAGAAAUGAUUUCAUUUAGAAGUAUGUAGUUUUGUAGGCGUCUUCUGCGGUGAUGGUACUUCAUAGGGCCUAAUUGUAGACUGGCGUCGCAUUCCUGCUUUUUCUGGAUGAAGUGCAAAAUGAGGUCUCGCUUGCGGAAACGUCUCUAGGGAAGACUCUGGCCUCGACGCUGGAAGCCCUGAUCUCCAA